rnacentral:rRNA from 1 species
UACGUAGGGUGCGAGCGUUAAUCGGAAUUACUGGGCGUAAAGGGUGUGCAGGCGGUUUUGCAAGAUGGAUGUGAAAGCCCCGGGCUUAACCUGGGAAAGCCAUACAUGACUGCAAGACUAGAGUGCGUCAGAGGGGGGUGGAAUUCCAAGUGUAGCAGUGAAAUGCGUAGAUAUUUGGAAGAACACCGAUGGCGAAGGCAGCCCCCUGGGACGCAACUGACGCUCAUACACGAAAGCGUGGGGAGCAA